rnacentral:misc_RNA from 1 species
CGCACAUUGCAUUCUUUGGUAUUCCAAAGAGUAUGUCUGUUUGAGUAUUAUUUCAACCUUUUAAAGCAAUCAAUUCUGAAUUGAUUGUUUUGACGUGAGCAUGAAAUUGUUCUUGCUUGAAAUUCAUUAUUACGUAUCAAUAUUUAACGAUAAUCCAUUGUAAUCAAGAGUAUCUUGCAAACUUGGUUGUCUUCAAAUAUUGAUACUUUGACUUGGAAAAAAAAAAAAGAGUCACUACUUUAAUGAUCUCAAAUCAGAUAGGAUUACCCGCUGAACUUAA